CUUUCGGAGCUGUGCGGCAUUCUGAGCAGGAAUGGCAGUGUGGACCUCUGUGAUGGGACAUCUUGUGGGAUCUCACAGCCAGGACUCGUCAGGAAGCUGGAUAACAGAGCGAGCGCAAUGUGCUAGAAUAGAAGACCAGAAAAUGAAAUGGUGGAGUUUGAGGCUGGAUAGACAGUUUGAAAGGGCUCCUGUGACAAGUGGACAUGCAGUGACUGCACCUUUGUUUCUGAGGUGCCUGGAUGGAGGCUCAAAUAGAAGAUGGUGUCAGAUAUAUUGUGUUAAAAUUUUACCAUUAAAGUGUAUUAUAACAUGAA
rnacentral:lncRNA from 1 species